UGGGGAAUAUUGGACAAUGGGCGCAAGCCUGAUCCAGCCAUGCCGCGUGAGUGAUGAAGGCCUUAGGGUUGUAAAGCUCUUUCGCCGGUGAAGAUAAUGACGGUAACCGGAGAAGAAGCCCCGGCUAACUUCGUGCCAGCAGCCGCGGUAAUACGAAGGGGGCUAGCGUUGCUCGGAAUCACUGGGCGUAAAGCGCACGUAGGCGGAUCGUUAAGUCAGGGGUGAAAUCCUGGAGCUCAACUCCAGAACUGCCCUUGAUACUGGCGAUCUCGAGUUCGAGAGAGGUUGGUGGAACUCCGAGUGUAGAGGUGAAAUUCGUAGAUAUUCGGAAGAACACCAGUGGCGAAGGCGGCCAACUGGCUCGAUACUGACGCUGAGGUGCGAAAGCGUGGGGAGCAAAACAGGAUUAGAUACCCUGGUAGUCCACGCCGUAAAACGAUGGAUGCUAGCCGUUGGGGGGUUUACCUCUCAGUGGCGCAGCUAACGCCUUAAGCAUCCCGCCUGGGGAGUACGGUCGCAAGAUUAAAAACUCAAAGGAAUUGACGGGGUCAAGCUGUUUCCUG
rnacentral:rRNA from 1 species